rnacentral:lncRNA from 1 species
GCCAAAGCAAGAACAAAGGAAGAACAAAACCCUAGAUAGAAAAAUUCAAGAAAAAAGUGUGAAAAUUCAAGGAAACAAGUGAAAAAAAAGUAAGAUUUUUUCAAUUAAGCUUGAGAUCUCUCUUUCUUAAGCAUUUUUUUUCUUGUUUUCCAUGGUUGAAUCACAUGAAAUCAUGAUGAAUCUCUUGCUGGCCGAACACUUAGAGAGAGAUUUUGAUGGUUGUUUUGGUUAGAUUUUAAGAUAUUCUAGUGUUUUUAGUUGAUUGGUGAUGUAUAGCAUGAAAAUCAAGCAAGAAAAAUUCAUGUUCUUCCAUCACCCAUCAUUGGCCGAAUUUUUCCAUGUAGAGUGUGGAUGGUGGAUUUUAUUUUGUUUCAAGUGAAUUGGUUAGGAAAUGAUGAAUUAUGGUUAGAAAAUCAAGUAGGAAAAAUCAUAGUGUUGAUGCACUCACCAUGGCCGAAAUUCUCAAGAAGAAAUGUGAGGAUGAUUUUGCCAUACUUCAAGUUAUUUAAUUUGUGUUUGAUGAUUUGGAGUACUAGGAGAAAAUUGUCACGACCCGGAACUCCCCUCGAGCCCGUGACAACCGCCACAAUGUCUCGAUUGACACUCAUUACCCGAAAUGUCAACCGAAACCCCGCAAGGCUUUAAUAUCAGCUUCUCUUUUUCCCUGUGAGUAACCAUUGCCAAAUAUCAUGUUCUAAACGAUUUUAAACUAUUUC